CUUCGGGAGGGCGCUUACCACUUUGUGAUUCAUGACUGGGGUGAAGUCGUAACAAGGUAACCGUAGGGGAACCUGCGGUUGGAACACCUCCUUA
rnacentral:rRNA from 1 species